GGAGAGGUGCGUGAGCGGUUGAAACGGGCGGUCUUGAAAACCGCUAUGGCCUUUUGAGGUCAUCGGGGGUUCGAAUCCCUCCCUCUCCGCCA
rnacentral:tRNA from 1 species